UUUAUUUUAUUACAAGGAGUAUAUAAGAUUUUGAUUCUUACAGUAGAUUUAAAAUUUAAAUAAUA
rnacentral:tRNA from 1 species